rnacentral:rRNA from 1 species
CCUACGGGUGGCAGCAGUGGGGAAUAUUGGACAAUGGGGGGAACCCUGAUCCAGCCAUGCCGCGUGUGUGAAGAAGGCCCGCGGGUUGUAAAGCACUUUCAGCGAGGAAGAACGCCUGGUGGUUAAUACCCAUCAGGAAAGACAUCACUCACAGAAGAAGCACCGGCUAACUCCGUGCCAGCAGCCGCGGUAAUACGGAGGGUGCGAGCGUUAAUCGGAAUUACUGGGCGUAAAGCGCGCGUAGGUGGCUUGAUAAGCCGGUUGUGAAAGCCCCGGGCUCAACCUGGGAACGGCAUCCGGAACUGUCAAGCUAGAGUGCAGGAGAGGAAGGUAGAAUUCCCGGUGUAGCGGUGAAAUGCGUAGAGAUCGGGAGGAAUACCAGUGGCGAAGGCGGCCUUCUGGACUGACACUGACACUGAGGUGCGAAAGCGUGGGUAGCAAACAGGAUUAGAUACCCUGGUAGUC